AGGAGCCCCAGCACCAGGAUUCCCAGGUGUUCCAGUCAGUACUCAGGACAGGAUACAGACAACUCACCAUGGAGUUUGUGCUUGGCUGGGUUUUCCUUGUUGCUCUUUUAAAAGGUGUCCAGUGUGAGGUGCAGCUGGUGGAAUCUGGGGGAGACUUGAGACUCUCCCAUGCAGCCUUUGUAUUUACCUUCAGUAGCUACUACAUGAGCUGGGUCCUCCAGGCUCCAGGGAAGGGGCUGCAGUGGGUCGCAUAUAUUAGCUAUGAUGGAGGUAGCACAUACUAUGCAGACUCUGUGAAGGGCCGACUCACCAUCUCCAGAGACAACGGCAAGAACACGCUGUAUCUGCAGAUGAACAGCCUGAGAACUGAGGACACAGCCCUGUAUUAUUGUGAAACAGACACAGUAAGGAGCCCUCAGUGUGAGCCCAGACACAAACCUCACUGUAGGACUGGAUCUGGACCACCAGGCAAAAGUGGUCCUAAGACAAAACUACACAGCAUACAGGAAGACCUCAAGAAGCAAGAAAAAUCUGAAAGAAACACUCUAACGUUACACAUGAAGGAGCUACAGAAGGGCAACAGCUCUCAGGGCUGUGUGGCCCAUGAAAGGACACUGGAGAGGCACCUGGCCGUGAACUGCAAGCCAUGCAAGAGGGUGCAUGUGUGA